rnacentral:rRNA from 1 species
UACGUAGGGUGCGAGCGUUGUCCGGAAUUAUUGGGCGUAAAGAGCUUGUAGGCGGUUUGUCGCGUCUGCUGUGAAAACCCGUGGCUCAACCAUGUGGUCUGCAGUCGAUACGGGCAGGCUAGAAUUCGGUAGGGGAGACUGGAAUUCCUGGUGUAGCGGUGAAAUGCGCAGAUAUCAGGAGGAACACCGGUGGCGAAGGCGGGUCUCUGGGCCGAUAUUGACGCUGAGGAGCGAAAGCGUGGGGAGCGAACAGG